AUACGUAGGGGGCGAGCGUUGUCCGGAAUGAUUGGGCGUAAAGGGCGCGUAGGCGGCCCGGUAAGUCUGGAGUGAAAGUCCUGCUUUUAAGGUGGGAAUUGCUUUGGAUACUGUCGGGCUUGAGUGCAGGAGAGGUAAGUGGAAUUCCCAGUGUAGCGGUGAAAUGCGUAGAGAUUGGGAGGAACACCAGUGGCGAAGGCGGCUUACUGGACUGUAACUGACGCUGAGGCGCGAAAGUGUGGGGAGCAAACAGGAUUAGAUACCCUGGUAGUCCACACUGUAAACGAUGAAUGCUAGGUGUAGGGGGUAUCGACCCCUUCUGUGCCGCAGUUAACACAAUAAGCAUUCCGCCUGGGGAGUACGGCCGCAAGGUUGAAACUCAAAGGAAUUGACGGGG
rnacentral:rRNA from 1 species